UGAUCGGUGCUUGCACCGAGAUUCAACAUGGAACGAGUGGCGGACGGGUGAGUGACACGUGGGUAACCUGCCCUUAAGUGGGGGAUAACAUUUGGAAACAGAUGCUAAUACCGCAUAGAUCCAAGAACCGCAUGGUUCUUGGCUGAAAGAUGGCGUAAGCUAUCGCUUUUGGAUGGACCCGCGGCGUAUUAGCUAGUUGGUGAAGUGAUGGCUCACCGAGGCGAUGAUACGUAGCCGAACUGAGAGGUUGAUCGGCCACAUUGGGACUGAGACACGGCCCAAACUCCUACGGGAGGCAGCAGUAGGGAAUCUUCCACAAUGGACGCAAGUCUGAUGGAGCAACGCCGCGUGAGUGAAGAAGGCUUUCGGGUCGUAAAACUCUGUUGUUGGAGAAGAAUGGUCGGCAGAGUAACUGUUGUCGGCGUGACGGUAUCCAACCAGAAAGCCACGGCUAACUACGUGCCAGCAGCCGCGGUAAUACGUAGGUGGCAAGCGUUAUCCGGAUUUAUUGGGCGUAAAGCGAGCGCAGGCGGUUUUUUAAGUCUGAUGUGAAAGCCCUCGGCUUAACCGAGGAAGCGCAUCGGAAACUGGGAAACUUGAGUGCAGAAGAGGACAGUGGAACUCCAUGUGUAGCGGUGAAAUGCGUAGAUAUAUGGAAGAACACCAGUGGCGAAGGCGGCUGUCUGGUCUGUAACUGACGCUGAGGCUCGAAAGCAUGGGUAGCGAACAGGAUUAGAUACCCUG
rnacentral:rRNA from 1 species